CCCAAGGGUAUGGCUGUUCGCCAUUUAAAGUGGUACGCGAGCUGGGUUCAGAACGUCGUGAGACAGUUCGGUCCCUAUCUGCCAUGGGCGUUGGAGAUUUGAGAGGGGCUGCUCCUAGUACGAGAGGACCGGAGUGGACGAACCUCUGGUGUUCCGGUUGUCACGCCAGUGGCAUUGCCGGGUAGCUAUGUUCGGAAGCGAUAACCGCUGAAAGCAUCUAAGCGGGAAGCGCGCCUCAAGAUGAGAUCUCCCGGGGCACAAGCCCCCUGAAGGAACCAUAUAGACUAUGUGGUUGAUAGGUCAGGUGUGUAAGUACAGCAAUGUAUUGAGCUAACUGAUACUAAUGAUCCGUGUGGCUUGACCAU
rnacentral:ncRNA from 1 species